GGAGAGAUGGCCGAGUGGCUUAAGGCGCACGCUUGGAAAGCGUGUGUACGUUAAUAGCGUACCCAGGGUUCGAAUCCCUGUCUCUCCG
rfam:Acetobacter orientalis 21F-2 DNA, contig: Abor_001.